CCUGUUUUAGCUCUUGUUGUGUUCAUGAGCUAACGUUAGCUAUGUCGUUUUAUAUUUAUAAGUGAACAGUAUUGAUUUUAAAUUGGUUUCAGCUGUCAAGCAUUCAUUAAAACACACAGCUAGCUAGAAAUUGCCGAGUGACAUGACAAAUCAACACCCCACAGAAACCAGUUGAUCAGAGGACAUUAGCUUGCUAGUGCAAGCAAGCCUGCUAAAGCUAAUAACUGUCGAGCUCGCUGAUCUGUGAGGCAGCCCGGAGACAAUAUAUUAGCUGUCUAGUAUGAGUAAACAAACAUGCGAGACAUUACAUGAAGGCAGCACAGCAACUUAUCCUUUCCACUGGUGUGUGACACACUCACUGUUUCACUAUUCAGUCGGUAACGUUACGGAAAGUCCCAGUAUCCUGGAAGCCUCUCGUCAGGGACACACCGCCGCCCCUGCUGCUUCCGGUUAUCACUGAAACGAAAACAUCGCAGAAACAUUGACACACAGGUUAGAAAUCCCUCAGUGUUAUGUCAUCACUGUGUGGUAAUGCGGCAUGAACUCCUCAAAUUAAUUUGCACCAUGCCACAAUGAUGAAGAAAUACUGCAGACUUGAUGUUCACAGUGAGUGAUUACAUAACUCAAGCAAGUUUCAAGAGUCUGGAAAAACAAUGGAUGCCUGAAAAUGAAUUCUCAGUCACGGUACGAAGAUUUGAUGUCAAAACAUGUUUGGGCAGUGUGCUGGGUGUGUCUAUAGCCAGGUGAGCAGGCUGUCUCUGUCCAUGUGCGACCCAGAGAGAACUGUCUCCAUGUCCAUCAGAAGGUCUGAACUGAGACCCUCGGGGAUGCAGGGCAUUAGCUCUUCACCCUCCGACAUCGGGAGCACAGGCAUCGAGUCCUGUAAGGUCAUCGCGGAGAUGUCGGCAGAGUCACCUGAAGAAGUCAGAAAAGAAGAUAAAAAUGACCAAGCUGUGAGCUGGGAGAAAUUACGGAAUUUGGAUUGGAUGUUGUUGUCUCUUUAAUACAGCUGCACAUAGACCAGUAUGUGUAAAGUUUUAUAUCCCUGCAGGAAGUGUGUAUGUACAUAAAUAAAAUGCACACUCCAUGCUUUUCAUCUCUCACUUCUGUUUUUUUAUGUAAAAAUAAAUUUACUCAAAGAAAUACAGAAGUGAGGGGAUGAAUGCAAAAAAAAUUUAAUGUAUCUAAAAUCUAAAUAUGUGCAAAAAUAAAGAUAGGAAAGUGUUCUUUCUU